UAUUCUUCUUCUUAUUUCAUAGAUCUCUCUUGUUCUCUUUUUUCAUAAAUCUUACAAUCCAGAAGAGUAAAAGCUCCUCAUCAAGGAACAAAAUCGUUUGAUCUUAACUCCCCAUCCAUGAUCUGAUUAGAGCAAAGAAUAUCUCUAGAACCACCAGUAAACCAAAUCGUUCUACUCAUGUAGCAGAUCUGUAUUCGAGGUCUUCUUCUUCGUUGAAGAGUUUUGUAGUGAGCAACAUAUUUCAAUGGGUCGGUUAGUGAUGAGAAUAGAGUUGAUAUUAUUAAUUCUAAGUUGGGUCAUUCUCAGAUUGAUGUUCUUGCUAGCCUUGUGUGUUGAAGACUAGUUAGAGAAAGAGUUGGUCCAUCCAUACUUUAUCACUCUUACAUGUACCAGGUAUCCUAGACGUAUAUAGUAUUGAAAAUGCAACAACAAAAGUUUAUCAAAUAGCAAAGGAGUGGAGGUGUUAGAAAACAUAUCUUUCAAAGAUGAUGUGUGUGGAAUGGUACCAGGUAGCCUAGACGUAUAUGGUAUUGAAAAUGAAACAACAAAAGUUUAUCAAAUAACAAAGGAGUGUAGGUGUUAGAAACAUAUCUUCCAAAGAUGAUGUGUUUGGAAUGGGUCAGUACAUUUCUAAAGUUUAUCACUUGUAGAGGGUGAAACUGUACACUUUAUGGAAAUCCAUAUGAAUCAGUUUUCCUUGAUAUAAGAAUGGAUUGGUAGUAAAAUGAAGCAAACACGAGAACUUGGAAAACAAAGUGAUUCGUCUCUAAAUAAGGUGCAGAUGAAACAGGACAUGAUGUUGCAUCAUAGGUGUUACUAAGUUGUUUAGCUUUGAAACCUGUUCCGGUGGUGAAAUUGUUUGAUGGAAGAGGAGAUGUUGAAGAUCAGAAUUUUGAUGAUUAUCCACUGGUUUUUAUUUAGAUCCCUA